CCCUCAGGCCCCGACUCCAAAUCAACACACAGAUCUUUUCCAGGCUCUGGAUCCUGCUCUGGAAGGACAGGCUGCGGUGGCUGGGCUCAGGCAUUGCAUACACAGGCGUGUUCGCUGUGGCAGUGCACUUCUGCAGAAGGCGCCCUGGCCAAGCUGAGAGGUGGGCUUCUGCGAGGGGCCCGAAGGGCUGGUGGGGCCCGAUCAGUGCGUGCAGCGUCCUCCACCGCCAGCACCCACGCUCCCCGACUCCCCGCUCCUUCACAUCGCCUGUGCCCCUCUGCUCGGCUGCCCGGUGAGAGGAGAAAGUUAAAAUGAAGAAAGAACACUGGAUACAUGUAAACAACCUCUCCAGGGUUGUGUGAGAGCCACCAAGCUGGACCUAACAAAAGACACAGAAUCUACCUUAAAAAAACAACAACAAAACAAAACAAGAAAACACAAGGACAGCUAUUCGAGUAUUGAAGUAAUAGCUCCUCAUUCCUUAUGGUCAGACACGGGCAACAGAGGACUCGCUGGGUUCAGACUGAAUGGUGCCUGAGACUUGGUGAGACAGCGUUUAUCUAGUAUUGAAUGAGUAAUUUCCACAGACAGCUGAACUAUUUGAGAAGCUAAACAAGUAACUGAAACUUCAGAAACCCUGCUGAGCGUAAGUGCUACAUGAGCCACAUGUCCCCAGUUCUCCCAAAGCACAAAGGCACCGCAGUAUCUGAGACCUCGGAAGGUGAAAUGACUAACCUCCAAUUCAUGCAUGGCUCCACAAACAGGGAAGCGGCUGUUGGAAGAGAAAAAAGAAAAAGAAAAAAGAAAAAAAACCCAGAAAAAACCCCACCAGUUCCUGCUGGAUACAACUUUUGUUCGGGGUCCCGGACAAGCAGACAUUUCAGUAGUGCAUUGGCUCCGCCCCCAGCAGGCGUCCAGAUUGUAGCUGCCUCACACUGAACAGAGGGAGGUACCUGACUGCAGCCUGGGUGCCAGAGCAGGGGACCACAACACAGUCACCAGCUAAGACUCAACAAUGACCGCAGAAACAUCUCACUGCAGUAUCUGUAUUCCUAAAAACGUCACACGCUGGUUUCCUUAUAGGUCGUCUCAGUAUUCAGCACUGCUGGUUACCUUUGAUCAAAUGUGUAUUUUGGGUCAGGCACUGUAUACACCCGGGCUCACUAAAUCCUCAUAAGAAUCCAAAAAGUUCUAAUUUUACAGAUGAGUAAAAAGAAGAGAGAGAGAAAUUAAGCAUUGUGCUGGAAGCCACACUGAUAGUGCGCAGCCAGAUGGGAAUCAACUUAGCCCUUCACCCCUCCAAACCUGUGCCCUUUCUACUCAUCUGUGCUGCUUCUUGGGUUGUAACUAAUGAUGCAAAUAAUUUCUAGACUAUCCCCCCUCCAUGCUUAAAAUUUUCAAAUCAUUAUUAGCUGGUUUUAAUGCACAGCAUGGUACUACACAGCAGCAAGGAAACAAGAUUCAGCAUGAAACAUCCUUGGGUCCUGUAUUGGAUCACCAUGUGGUUAGAAUUGGGGUCUAAUGAUAUCAUUGGAUGUUACUAAUUGUUAAUAAAAUGUUUCAGUAUUUAAAUA